GCAUGUGUUAUUGAUUGAUGUGUUUUGUUCAAUAAUGCGUGUUGUACAGCAACUUUAUAUGCAGUUACUCAAAGAGAGUUGAUGGUACUCGAGAUUUGGCGACAGAUGUAAAGUCUGGCAAUAAGGAAGACAUUGAGAAAUUCAGUAAACGGACAGUAAAGGUGACAAAGCAGCACAAUGAAGACUGCAGAAGACUUUUAUGGCUCAUGGGUGUGCCUGUAAUUGAGGUUGGACAUUAUUUAUAAUAAGUAAACUGCUGUAUAUGUGAGUUUCAGUUUGAUACAGAAUUAAAUGUUUGCCAUACUUUACUUGGAUGAAUUGAGUUUCACAGGCUCCCUCGG